UGACCCAGAUAAUUAACUUGUACUGUAUCAACACCAAUACAAGACCAGUGCUGCAUUGAUACUUGUAGUAGUGUCUAUGACUACUGCAUGUUGGAGAAGCUGGGAUUCAAACUGAUUAGAAGACAACCUACCUCCUGAGCUACAGCUGCCCCAUUAAGAAAGCAUGCAGCCUGCAUCAUAUUCUGGCAUGGACAUCAUCCUGAAGCCCAGCAGAGAUGGAGUGAGUAACCAUUCACAUGGAAAUCAUCAUGUAUGGGGUGUCUCUAUACUCCAGUGUUUAUGUGCAUUUCUGUGGAUAUGCCAAAGAUACUGUCACACAAUGUGGUCUAGAAGUCAGGAGACAAGAGGUGUUAAAAUGAUGUUGGGAAUGUAAAAUAUAAAAUUCAGAUCUUCUGCCAAGACCAGACGCUAACCAUCUGUGCAGCCUUUUUUUUUUUCUUCAUAACGAGGUUUAAUGAAAACUGACUUCUCACUGUGAUUGGCAGCCAGAAGGGUUGGAUUUUAAUCUGGAGCCAUUUUCUUCAGCAUGCGUUUUGGGGUCUGAAACAUUUAAUGCUAAGGAAUACUCAAUACUACUACCAGUGAGCAAAAGCUGUUUUUCUAUUCUUAAAGCACGGGGAUUUUGCUGGGUUAGAAGACCAGGGGGAUGAAGUUGUAUCAAGGUAGCCCCAUUUAUAUUUGCCUCAAGUUAAACAUAUGGAGACUGCAUACUACAUCAGCAAAAAUCACUUGCUGUUAUCUUAAAAAACAUCAAAUGCCAAAGUACCAAAUAUUGAAGGAAGCAAUGCCAGCAGGGAGGGACCUUGAACAGAAGGAUACAUACAAAAUCUUUGUGGACUUUUAAAAGGCAAAAAUAUAUUGAAUAAAUUCUGACUACAUGAAUAUGAACACUGUGGUUCAGUCUUCUGACAUUUCUGUAUCCUUUCAGACACUUCUUACCCACAACAGUGUUGAAAUGUUCAUCUAAUUUGUUUCUACCAUUAAAAGUGCAAACCAAUCAGUGUGCUCUGGUUGUGCCUUUUCUGAGUUUUCUGUCUUAGAUAUGAGAAGCACCUGACUC